rnacentral:tRNA from 1 species
AAGAUUUUAAGUUAAAAAAACUAUUUACCUUCAAAGUAAAAAUUAUUACCCAAUAAAUCUUA